CAGCAGUGGGGAAUCUUGGACAAUGGGGGCAACCCUGAUCCAGCAAUGCCGCGUGUGGGAAGAAGGCCUUCGGGUUGUAAACCACUUUUGGCAGGGAAGAAAUUGGCCGGGUUAAUACCCUGGCUGGAUGACGGUACCUGCAGAAUAAGCACCGGCUAACUACGUG
rnacentral:rRNA from 1 species